rnacentral:rRNA from 1 species
UACGGAGGGGGCUAGCGUUGUUCGGAAUUACUGGGCGUAAAGCGCACGUAGGCGGCUUUGUAAGUUAGAUGUGAAAGCCCGGAGCUCAACUCCGGAAUUGCCUUUAAGACUGCAUCGCUUGAAUCAUGGAGAGGUGAGUGGAAUUCCGAGUGUAGAGGUGAAAUUCGUAGAUAUUCGGAAGAACACCAGUGGCGAAGGCGACUCACUGGACAUGUAUUGACGCUGAGGUGCGAAAGCGUGGGGAGCAAACAGG